rnacentral:rRNA from 1 species
GUUUGAUUAUGGCUCAGAUUGAACGCUGGCGGGAUGCUUUACACAUGCAAGUCGAACGGCAGCACGGACUUCAGUCUGGUGGCGAGUGGCGAACGGGUGAGUAAUGUAUCGGAACGUGCCUAGUAGCGGGGGAUAACUACGCGAAAGCGUAGCUAAUACCGCAUACGCCCUUCGGGGAAAGCGGGGACCUUCGGGCCUCGCACUAUUAGAAGCGGCCGAUAUCGGAUUAGCUAGUUGGUGGGGUAACGGCUCACCAAGGCGACGAUCCGUAGCUGGUUUGAAAGGACGACCAGCCACACUGGGACUGAGACACGGCCCAGACUCCUACAGGAGGCAGCAGUGGGGAAUUUUGGACAAUAGGGGAAACCCUGAUCCAGCCAUCCCGCGUGUGCGAUGAAGGCCUUCGGGUUGUAAAGCACUUUUGGCAGGAAAGAAACGGCACGGGAUAAUACCCCGUGCAACUGACGACACCCUGCAGAAUAAGCACCGGCUAACUACGUGCCAGCAGCCGCGGUAAUACGUAGGGUGCAAGCGUUAAUCGGAAUUACUGGGCGUAAAGCGUGCGCAGGCGGUUCAGAAGAAAGAUGUGAAAUCCCAGAGCUUAACUUUGGAACUUACAUUUUUAACUACCGAGCUAGAGUGUGUCAGAGGAGGUGGAAUUCCGCGUGUAGCAGUGAAAUGCGUAGAUAUGCGGAGGAACACCGAUGGCGAAGGCAGCCUCUGGGAUAACACUGACGCUCAUGCACGAAAGCGUGGGAGCAAGCAGGAUUAGAUACCCUGGUAGUCCACGCCUAAACGAUGUCAACUGGCUAUUUGGGGCCUUCGGGCCUUGGUAGCGCAGCUAACGCGUGAAGUUGACCGCCUGGGAGUACGGUCGCAAGAUUAAAACUCAAAGGAAUUGACGGGGACCCGCACAAGCGGUGGAUGAUGUGGAUUAAUUCGAUGCAACGCGAAAAACCUUACCUACCCUUGACAUGUCUGGAAUCCCGAAGAGAUUUGGGAGUGCUCGCAAGAGAACCCGGAACACAGGUGCUGCAUGGCUGUCGUCAGCUCGUGUCGUGAGAUGUUGGGUAAGUCCCGCAACGAGCGCAACCCUUGUCAUUAGUUGCUACGAAGGGCACUCUAAUGAGACUGCCGGUGACAAACCGGAGGAAGGUGGGGAUGAUGACGUCAAGUCCUCAUGGCCCUUAUGGGUGAACCACACGUCAUACAAUGGUCGGGACAGAGGGUCGCCAACCCGCGAGGAGCCAAUCAGAAACCCGAUCGUAGUCCGGAUCAUGAUCUGCAACUCGACUGCGUGAAGUCGGAAUCGCUAGUAAUCGCGGAUCAGCAUGUCGCGGUGAAUACGUUCCCGGGUCUUGUAACACCGCCCGUCACGCUGGGAGUGGGUUUUACCAGAAGUAAUUAGCCUAACCGUAAGGAGGGCGAUUACCACGGUAGGAUUCAUGACUGGGGUAAGUCAUAACAAGGUAG